CCUACGGGAGGCAGCAGUGAGGAAUAUUGGUCAAUGGGCGAGAGCCUGAACCAGCCAAGUCGCGUGAGGGAGUACUGCCCUAUGGGUUGUAAACCUCUUUUGUCGGGGCGCAAAAGCCGGACGUGUCCGGCUGUGAGAGUACCCGAAGAAAAAGCAUCGGCUAACUCCGUGCCAGCAGCCGCGGUAAUAAGGCGGAUUCGAGCGUUAUCCGGAUUUAUUGGGUUGAAAGGGUGCGCAGGCGGAUUUUUAAGUCAGCGGUAAAAUCGUGGGGCUCAACCCCAUCCAGCCGUUGAAACUGGGGAUCUAGAGUGUGCGAGAGGUAUGCGGAAUGCGUGGUGUAGCGGUGAAAUGCAUAGAUAUCACGCAGAACCACGAUUGCGAAGGCAGCAUACCGGUGCACAACUGACGCUCAGGCACGAAAGCGUGGGUAUCGAACAGGAUUAGAUACCCUUGUAGUC
rnacentral:rRNA from 1 species